AGCUAGCAUCAAUGGCAGAAGAGAGUCUUCCUCUAUCACUUACACAACUUACUGUCUAUCAUUGUCCGCUGCUAGAAGAGAGAUGCAAACCAAGUAAAGGAAGAUAUUGGCCCUCCAUAGCACACAUCCCUUACAUUCGAAUUCAAGACCACGUGCAUAGAGGAAAUCCAGAUCAUGUCCCACGCCUCCUGUUCUCAUGCUCUCCUUCCAGAUCAGAGGACCAGAGGACCAAGCUAGCUAUCACGAACACAUAAAUUUCUUUCCUUAAAGCGAUCUUAUCGGAGAUCAAUUACGGGAUGCUUGAACAAUGGACCCUUUUACUCAUCAGCCUUUGUCCAGAGAUUUUGUCACAUGCUUUUGAUCAGGCUUCCUCACCAAGUAACCCUUGGUUUGCAUUUGGGAGCUUGUUAGGCUAAAAUGGAAAGAGAUGAAUUGAGGAGGUGGGGAGUG